GAUGAACGCUGGCGGCAGGCCUAACACAUGCAAGUCGAGCGAACAGACGAGGAGCGUGCUCUCCUGACGUUGGCGGCGGGCGGAUGAGUAACGCGUGGAUAACCUACCUAUAAGACUGGGAUAACUACGGAAGACCAGUACCAAUAACGGAUAAUAUAUUCAACAGCUUGGAUCAAUAGCUAAAGAGGGUUUUGCUGUCACUUAUAGAUGGUUCCGCGUCGCAUUAGUUAGGUGGUAAGGUAACGGCUUACCAAGGCGACGAUGCGUGGCCGACCUGAGAGGGGGAUCAGCCACCCCGGAACUGAGACACGGUCCAGACUCCUACGGGAGGCAGCAGUGGGGAAUGUUCCACAAUGGGAGGAAGCCUGACGUAGCACCGCCGCGUGGGGGAAGAAGGUCUUCGGCUCGUAAAACUCUGUUAUUAGGGAAGAACAAAAGUGUAAGUAACUAUACACGUGUUGACGGUACCUAAUCAAUAAGCCCCGGCUAACUACGUG
rnacentral:rRNA from 1 species